CCUGGAGAGGGACAGUGGGCAGAGCUGGUCUCCCUCACUCUGAACCUGACCACAUGACCACAGAACCACCAGGGCACUCCUGGGGCUGGAGUAUGGCAGCCGAGGGCAGAGUUUGCUUGAGGGGGAUGAAGUGGAGACCAGCGACAGGGCUGAGAGCUAUAGCCCCGGGAAGGCUGAGAGACCGGUGACACUGGAGACAGAUGCAGAAAGCAGGAAAAUGACCUGGAUAGCCUAUGUGGAGCUGAACUGAAGCCCAAAGAUGCUGACUUCCCCUGUGUAUCACCUGUGACCCCACUUGCAACAGAGCUGGUCCUUAAGGAAGGGUCAAACAGCAUCACCCCACGCCUUGACACCCAGAGGGUCACCUCUGCAGCUUCCAGUGUGCAGCUGAUCAGUGGCUGGCACGAACAAAGCUCAUGCCCUUUCUACAGCACCCAGCCUUUGCUACCCACCAAGACAAACACCUGCUUUCCUCUUCCAA